rnacentral:lncRNA from 1 species
CCGUAGAUAUCCAUCCGAAUCCAUUCUUUGACAGGUAAUAUUUGAGUUGAUUGGGUAUGGGUUCGGGUUGAGAUUUUUUCCGAUAACCAAAAGUCGGAUACGAGUACGGGUAUGAGAUUAUUAGACCCGUCCCGACCUCGAACCUGAACCCGCCCCGUCCCGCCACUUAAAAUCUUUAGAAUUUUUGUAUAAUUUAAUCAAAAGACAUAGAAUUUUUAUUAUUAGUUAAUUUUAUUUUAGAAUUUUUUUAUAAUU